AGGUGCGGCCUCGACGUCAGCGGGGAGCGGAGCAGCUUCGGCGGGGGCAGGCUCGGCUGGUGGGGCCUCGACCGGGGCGGCUUCCGGGACUACCGCUGGCUCUGGGGCCGGUUCCGCCACCUUCUUGGGUGCUUUCGCGGCCUUCUUGAUCGGGGCAGGCUUGGACGGCAUGUCGGCGAUGGCAGAUAAUUCCCAAGCGGCGUGUGGCCCUAAUACUCCUUCAGCAUCUAGUUUCAAAUACGGGGAUUCAAACUGUGUCAUCAUCCUGGUGAAGUCAUUCCAGUCAGAAUACUUAGUAUAGUGUACAUGGCAGCAAUGGUGAUAUUCCACACUUGACGGUGAAGCAAAUACUGUAGUGCUGGAAGAGUACAGUGCAGUGAUCAGCUGGCAUCAAAAAGAGUAUGACAGCAAUGGCCAGUCUCUGAAUGCCUCCAUGGACCAGCUAACAACCUGAAACUAGACAAGCUGGUUGAAAUGAUGUAAGCACCGGUGUGAGCUGCUUAAGUUGUGGUGAUGCAGACAUUUGUGUUUUUAAGGCAACUUGUUUUGGUUUUCUGAAUUUGAGUUUUACCUGCUCUGGUUGGAACGUUGAGGAUUGCAUAAUGUGAAGCUAAGCGAAGGACACGGUUGAGCAACUUCCAUCAUGCUGUCAUACUCUUUCUUGGGUUUCCAGACGGGCACCAUACAGUACCGCGUGUGAGAACAGCUGACGUAUCCCAUGAUGCACUGUUUGAGACAUCACCUGAAGUGUUUCAUCUUAAACUAUUAGCACCAAUCUAAGAAGAGGACUGAGGAUAAAGAGGAACCUGAAAAGAAUCGGGUGAGCGCCCCGUUCACCAGCUCGCUGACUGAAGCCGGGUCAUGAAUGUCGUCCACAAUGAUGACUAGAGGGUUUUCGGACGAGCUGCUCUCUCGAUCGAUUUGAUUGGCCAGGUUGGAGAGAUAGAGCUGCAGAUCCUGAAUGGAAGAGAAUAAGUUGACGCCUGGAACUUGAAGCUGGUCAGGCGUUCGCUUCCUGCCACCUUGCACGACUGGCGAUGCAUGUUGAAGGUCACCACCAUGCCGUCAGAGACUCCGCGGGCGCUGCGGUCCACCAGGUACUCCGCCAGGCGGGAGGCCAGGUAGGUCUUGCCCGUCCCGCUGGGCCCGGAGAGGAUGAGUCUGCGGUGUUUGAGUAACAGGCCGAUGUAGUGUUGCAUCAUGGGCUUGGGUAUGAGGGUCUCAAAGACCAGGCUGUCCACGCACUUCUCCUUCAGGCCUUUGGAGACACACCAUGGAAGGUCACCACAGAGCAACCAUCAGUUUCUGAUCCUACACACUAAAACAUGCUGGGUUAUUUAGAUAACCCAAUUUAUGAGUUGUGAGUGUUGGAAUACAUUUAGGAGUUAUUUUUAUGAAGAGCAAUCCAUUUUUAAAGUGUCACGGCGCGGGCUCGGCAGCUGGGCCUACCAGCACCUGUGCUGGCAGUGCACCGAGACACGCCCCUGCUCGCGCUGGCCGCGAUCAGCAAUCUGCACACCAGGGACUGAUGAGGGCGAGCUUUAUAAGGACCAGUGGACCCAAGGAUCCUGGCGGGAACUUAACUACCGUUUGUGUACCUGCUUUCCCGAGUGUUACCCGUUGGAUCUCCUGUCGUUCCCCUCUGGAUUUUGACUGCCUCCCUCGAUCCUCGACCCCCUUGAAUGGACACGAACUCUGACGCCUCUCUCUCGCCCCUGGAUCAUCUGCCUGCCCUACGGACUGUCUUCCUGCCUUGUUCCUCCUCUUGCCACACACAUCACGGUAAUACACAACAAUUAAUUACACACAUAGUCAAACACAUAUACACCCCUCGUGGAUUAGUCACACUCCAUUCUCUUGUUUAGUUAUAGUUU